rnacentral:rRNA from 1 species
UGAAGAAGGCCUUSGGGUUGUAAAGUUCUUUCGUGGAGGACGAAAAGGUGGGUGCUAAUAUCGCCUGCUGUUGACGUGAAUCCAAGAAGAAGCACCGGCUAACUCCGUSCCAGCAGCCGCSGUAAUACGGGGGGUGCAAGCSUUAAUCGGAAUCACUGGGCGUAAAGGGUGCGUAGGCGGUGCAUUAGGUCUGUCGUGAAAUSCCCSSSCUCAACCUGGGAA